UCCAGUCUUGGAGGAAGACGAGGUGUUGA
rnacentral:piRNA from 1 species